rnacentral:lncRNA from 1 species
UAUUUAUAUAAAAAAGAAGAUGUGGUAUGAUUGCCAAUGAGACAACUAUCCACAAAAGACCAAAAUGACACAGACAUUAACAACUAUAGGUCACCGUACGGCCUUCAACAAUGAGCAAAGCCCAUACCGCAUAGUCAGCUAUAAAAUGCCCCGAUAAGACAAUGUAAAACAAUUCAAACGAGAAAACUAACGGCUUUAUUUAUGUAAAAAAAAAUGAACGAAAAUCAAAUAUGUAACACAUAAACAAACGACAACC